rnacentral:lncRNA from 1 species
CUCUCCUUUGCAGUACUUGCAAUUUAUAGCUUCUGUCAUUUGAAAUUCAUUCAGGACUUCCUGUUGUAGCUCUUCAUCUCAACACAUCCACAGGGCAGCAAAUGUUCUGAAGCCGUCUUUUGGAAUUGUAUCUAAAAUAUUUCCUCCUGAAAGACACAGGGCAAGACUCCUCUGAAAAGCACCAGAGCAAAAAGAUGUUGGAAAGAGUUCAGCAAUCCUAUUGGCAGUGUUUGCAAUCAGGUGCCAGAUGGUGGUGCUCCUGACUCCGCAUUACUUAGAGGCGCGAGCUGCCUGAGAGGAGUUACAGAUGCAGUGUGCGUACCAAAACUGAUUUUGCAGGGAGGGCUAAGAGACGUCUCUGCAAUGAAGAAGUAAUUUGGACAUGAAGAGCAAGACCCAAAGCUCCACAUUUUUUUGGGUGCCGAAAUUCUCAGAGAUUUUGAUAGAGGUCGAACUGCCCAAGUAGGCAUUGAGAAUUUUGUCAAUACAUGUGUGAAGCUGGACAGCUAAGUGCCUGAACAGUUUUACAAAAGAAAUAAACACUUUUCCUUCAUGAA